UUGCUUUGGCAGCAAAUAUACUAAAAUUGUAAUGAUACAGAGAUUAGCAUGGCUCCUGAACAAGGAUGACACACAAAUUCGUUAAGUAUUCCAUAUUUUU
rnacentral:snRNA from 1 species